AUUGAACGCUGGCGGCAUGCCUUACACAUGCAAGUCGAACGGCAGCACGGGAGCAAUCCUGGUGGCGAGUGGCGAACGGGUGAGUAAAGUAUCGGAACGUGCCCAGUCGUGGGGGAUAACGUAGCGAAAGUUACGCUAAUACCGCAUACGAUCUAUGGAUGAAAGCGGGGGAUCGCAAGACCUCGCGCGAUUGGAGCGGCCGAUAUCAGAUUAGGUAGUUGGUGGGGUAAAGGCUCACCAAGCCGACGAUCUGUAGCUGGUCUGAGAGGACGAACAGCCACACUGGGACUGAGACACGGCCCAUACUCCUACGGGAGGCAGCAGUGGGGAAUUUUGGACAAUGGGCGAAAGCCUGAUCCAGCCAUGCCGCGUGCAGGAUGAAGGCCUUCGGGUUGUAAACUGCUUUUGUGCGGAGCGAAAAGGCUCUCUCUAAUACGGAGGGCUCAUGACGGUACCGUAAGAAUAAGCACCGGCUAACUACGUGCCAGCAGCCGCAGUAA
rnacentral:rRNA from 1 species